rnacentral:rRNA from 1 species
AUUGAACGCUGGCGGCAUGCCUUACACAUGCAAGUCGAACGGCAGCACGGGAGCAAUCCUGGUGGCGAGUGGCGAACGGGUGAGUAAAGUAUCGGAACGUGCCCAGCCGUGGGGGAUAACGUAGCGAAAGUUACGCUAAUACCGCAUACGAUCUAUGGAUGAAAGCGGGGGAUCGCAAGACCUCGCGCGAUUGGAGCGGCCGAUAUCAGAUUAGGUAGUUGGUGGGGUAAAGGCUCACCAAGCCGACGAUCUGUAGCUGGUCUGAGAGGACGACCAGCCACACUGGGACUGAGACACGGCCCAGACUCCUACGAGAGGCAGCAGUGGGGAAUUUUGGACAAUGGGCGCAAGCCUGAUCCAGCCAUGCCGCGUGCAGGAUGAAGGCCUUCGGGUUGUAAACUGCUUUUGUACGGAACGAAAAGGUUUGACUUAAUACGUUGGACUCAUGACGGUACCGUAAGAAUAAGCACCGGCUAACUACGUGCCAGCCGCCGCAGUAA